UACGUAGGCAGCAAGCGUUGUUCGGAGUUACUGGGCGUAAAGGGUGUGUAGGCGGGUUGCUUAAGUUUGGUGUGAAAUACUCCCCGCUCAACUGGGAUGGGUCGCGACCGAAUUACUGAGUGACUCGAGUGCGGGAGAGGAAAGUGGAAUUCCUGGUGUAGGCAGUGAAUGCGUAGAUAUCAGGAGGACACCUAUAGCGAAGGCAGCUGCUGGACGACACUGACGCUGAGGCGCGAAGCGUGGGGAGCGAACAGG
rnacentral:rRNA from 1 species